rnacentral:rRNA from 1 species
UGGGGAAUAUUGCACAAUGGGCGCAAGCCUGAUGCAGCCAUGCCGCGUGUAUGAAGAAGGCCUUCGGGUUGUAAAGUACUUUCAGCGGGGAGGAAGGGAGUAAAGUUAAUACCUUUGCUCAUUGACGGUACCCGCAGAAGAAGCACCGGCUAACUCCGUGCCAGCAGCCGCGGUAAUACGGAGGGUGCAAGCGUUAAUCGGAAUUACUGGGCGUAAAGCGCACGCAGGCGGGUUGUUAAGUCAGAUGUGAAAUCCCCGGGCUCAACCUGGGAGCUGCAUCUGAUACUGGCAAGCUUGAGUCUCGUAGAGGGGGGUAGAAUACCAGGUGUAGCGGUGAAAUGCGUAGAGAUCUGGAGGAAUACCGGUGGCGAAGGCGGCCCCCUGGACGAAGACUGACGCUCAGGUGCGAAAGCGUGGGGAGCAAACAGG